UGGGGAAUAUUGCACAAUGGGCGAAAGCCUGAUGCAGCGACGCCGCGUGAGGGAUGAAGGCCUUCGGGUUGUAAACCUCUUUCAGCAGGGAAGAAGCGCAAGUGACGGUACCUGCAGAAGAAGCGCCGGCUAACUACGUGCCAGCAGCCGCGGUAAUACGUAGGGCGCAAGCGUUGUCCGGAAUUAUUGGGCGUAAAGAGCUCGUAGGCGGUUUGUCGCGUCUGGUGGGAAAACUCGAGGCUCAACCUCGAGCUUGCAUCGGGUACGGGCAGACUAGAGUGCGGUAGGGGAGACUGGAAUUCCUGGUGUAGCGGUGGAAUGCGCAGAUAUCAGGAGGAACACCGAUGGCGAAGGCAGGUCUCUGGGCCGCAACUGACGCUGAGGAGCGAAAGCAUGGGGAGCGAACA
rnacentral:rRNA from 1 species